rnacentral:rRNA from 1 species
UACGGAGGGUGCAAGCGUUGUUCGGAAUUACUGGGCGUAAAGCGCGCGUAGGCGGCUCUUUAAGUCUCACUGUGAAAGACCGGGGCUCAACCCCGAGCGAGCAGGGGAUACUGGAGGGCUAGAGACCGGUAGAGGCCAGCGGAAUUUCGGGUGUAGCGGUGGAAUGCGUAGAGAUCCGAAAGAACACCGGAGGCGAAGGCGGCUGGCUGGGCCGGGUCUGACGCUGAGGUGCGAAAGCGUGGGGAGCGAA